rnacentral:rRNA from 1 species
GGUUAAGCGACUAAGCGUACACGGUGGAUGCCCUGGCAGUCAGAGGCGAUGAAGGACGUGCUAAUCUGCGAUAAGCGUCGGUAAGGUGAUAUGAACCGUUAUAACCGGCGAUUUCCGAAUGGGGAAACCCAGUGUGUUUCGACACACUAUCAUUAACUGAAUCCAUAGGUUAAUGAGGCGAACCGGGGGAACUGAAACAUCUAAGUACCCCGAGGAAAAGAAAUCAACCGAGAUUCCCCCAGUAGCGGCGAGCGAACGGGGAGCAGCCCAGAGCCUGAAUCAGUGUGUGUGUUAGUGGAAGCGUCUGGAAAGGCGCGCGAUACAGGGUGACAGCCCCGUACACAAAAAUGCACAUACUGUGAGCUCGAUGAGUAGGGCGGGACACGUGGUAUCCUGUCUGAAUAUGGGGGGACCAUCCUCCAAGGCUAAAUACUCCUGACUGACCGAUAGUGAACCAGUACCGUGAGGGAAAGGCGAAAAGAACCCCGGCGAGGGGAGUGAAAAAGAACCUGAAACCGUGUACGUACAAGCAGUGGGAGCCUCUUAAUGGGGUGACUGCGUACCUUUUGUAUAAUGGGUCAGCGACUUAUAUUCUGUAGCAAGGUUAACCGAAUAGGGGAGCCGAAGGGAAACCGAGUCUUAACUGGGCGUUAAGUUGCAGGGUAUAGACCCGAAACCCGGUGAUCUAGCCAUGGGCAGGUUGAAGGUUGGGUAACACUAACUGGAGGACCGAACCGACUAAUGUUGAAAAAUUAGCGGAUGACUUGUGGCUGGGGGUGAAAGGCCAAUCAAACCGGGAGAUAGCUGGUUCUCCCCGAAAGCUAUUUAGGUAGCGCCUCGUGAAUUCAUCUCCGGGGGUAGAGCACUGUUUCGGCAAGGGGGUCAUCCCGACUUACCAACCCGAUGCAAACUGCGAAUACCGGAGAAUGUUAUCACGGGAGACACACGGCGGGUGCUAACGUCCGUCGUGAAGAGGGAAACAACCCAGACCGCCAGCUAAGGUCCCAAAGUCAUGGUUAAGUGGGAAACGAUGUGGGAAGGCCCAGACAGCCAGGAUGUUGGCUUAGAAGCAGCCAUCAUUUAAAGAAAGCGUAAUAGCUCACUGGUCGAGUCGGCCUGCGCGGAAGAUGUAACGGGGCUAAACCAUGCACCGAAGCUGCGGCAGCGACGUUUAUGCGUUGUUGGGUAGGGGAGCGUUCUGUAAGCCUGUGAAGGUGUACUGUGAGGUAUGCUGGAGGUAUCAGAAGUGCGAAUGCUGACAUAAGUAACGAUAAAGCGGGUGAAAAGCCCGCUCGCCGGAAGACCAAGGGUUCCUGUCCAACGUUAAUCGGGGCAGGGUGAGUCGACCCCUAAGGCGAGGCCGAAAGGCGUAGUCGAUGGGAAACAGGUUAAUAUUCCUGUACUUGGUGUUACUGCGAAGGGGGGACGGAGAAGGCUAUGUUGGCCGGGCGACGGUUGUCCCGGUUUAAGCGUGUAGGCUGAUUUUCCAGGCAAAUCCGGAAAAUCAAGGCUGAGGCGUGAUGACGAGGCACUACGGUGCUGAAGCAACAAAUGCCCUGCUUCCAGGAAAAGCCUCUAAGCAUCAGGUAACAUCAAAUCGUACCCCAAACCGACACAGGUGGUCAGGUAGAGAAUACCAAGGCGCUUGAGAGAACUCGGGUGAAGGAACUAGGCAAAAUGGUGCCGUAACUUCGGGAGAAGGCACGCUGAUAUGUAGGUGAAGUCCCUCGCGGAUGGAGCUGAAAUCAGUCGAAGAUACCAGCUGGCUGCAACUGUUUAUUAAAAACACAGCACUGUGCAAACACGAAAGUGGACGUAUACGGUGUGACGCCUGCCCGGUGCCGGAAGGUUAAUUGAUGGGGUUAGCGGUAACGCGAAGCUCUUGAUCGAAGCCCCGGUAAACGGCGGCCGUAACUAUAACGGUCCUAAGGUAGCGAAAUUCCUUGUCGGGUAAGUUCCGACCUGCACGAAUGGCGUAAUGAUGGCCAGGCUGUCUCCACCCGAGACUCAGUGAAAUUGAACUCGCUGUGAAGAUGCAGUGUACCCGCGGCAAGACGGAAAGACCCCGUGAACCUUUACUAUAGCUUGACACUGAACAUUGAGCCUUGAUGUGUAGGAUAGGUGGGAGGCUUUGAAGUGUGGACGCCAGUCUGCAUGGAGCCGACCUUGAAAUACCACCCUUUAAUGUUUGAUGUUCUAACGUUGGCCCCUUACCGGGGUUGCGGACAGUGUCUGGUGGGUAGUUUGACUGGGGCGGUCUCCUCCUAAAGAGUAACGGAGGAGCACGAAGGUUGGCUAAUCCUGGUCGGACAUCAGGAGGUUAGUGCAAUGGCAUAAGCCAGCUUGACUGCGAGCGUGACGGCGCGAGCAGGUGCGAAAGCAGGUCAUAGUGAUCCGGUGGUUCUGAAUGGAAGGGCCAUCGCUCAACGGAUAAAAGGUACUCCGGGGAUAACAGGCUGAUACCGCCCAAGAGUUCAUAUCGACGGCGGUGUUUGGCACCUCGAUGUCGGCUCAUCACAUCCUGGGGCUGAAGUAGGUCCCAAGGGUAUGGCUGUUCGCCAUUUAAAGUGGUACGCGAGCUGGGUUUAGAACGUCGUGAGACAGUUCGGUCCCUAUCUGCCGUGGGCGCUGGAGAACUGAGGGGGGCUGCUCCUAGUACGAGAGGACCGGAGUGGACGCAUCACUGGUGUUCGGGUUGUCAUGCCAAUGGCACUGCCCGGUAGCUAAAUGCGGAAGAGAUAAGUGCUGAAAGCAUCUAAGCACGAAACUUGCCCCGAGAUGAGUUCUCCCUGACUCUUUAAGGGUCCUGAAGGAACGUUGAAGACGACGACGUUGAUAGGCCGGGUGUGUAAGCGCAGCGAUGCGUUGAGCUAACCGGUACUAAUGAACCGUGAGGCUUAACCUU